rnacentral:rRNA from 1 species
UACGGGAGGGUGCAAGCGUUAUCCGGAUUCAUUGGGCGUAAAGGGUGCGUAGGCGGGCAGGUAAGUCCGUGGUGAAAAUCGUCCAAGCUUAACUUGGAAACUGCCGUGGAUACUAUUUGUCUUGAAUAUAGUGGAGGUGAGCGGAAUAUGUCAUGUAGCGGUGAAAUGCUUAGAUAUGACAUAGAACACCCAUUGCGAAGGCAGCUCGCUACACUAUUAUUGACGCUGAGGCACGAAAGCGUGGGGAUCAAACAGG